rnacentral:tRNA from 1 species
GCCUGGGUGGCUCAGUCGGUUAAGCGUCCGACUUCGGCUCAGGUCAUGAUCUCGCGGUCCGUGAGUUCAAGCCUCGCAUCAGGCU